AUGAACGCUAGCUACAGGCUUAACACAUGCAAGUCGAGGGGAAACGACAUCGAAAGCUUGCUUUUGAUGGGCGUCGACCGGCGCACGGGUGAGUAACGCGUAUCCAACCUGCCCACCACUUGGGGAUAACCUUGCGAAAGUAAGACUAAUACCCAAUGAUAUCUCUAGAAGACAUCUGAAAGAGAUUAAAGAUUUAUCGGUGAUGGAUGGGGAUGCGUCUGAUUAGCUUGUUGGCGGGGUAACGGCCCACCAAGGCAACGAUCAGUAGGGGUUCUGAGAGGAAGGUCCCCCACAUUGGAACUGAGACACGGUCCAAACUCCUACGGGAGGCAGCAGUGAGGAAUAUUGGUCAAUGGACGAGAGUCUGAACCAGCCAAGUAGCGUGCAGGAAGACGGCCCUAUGGGUUGUAAACUGCUUUUAUAAGGGAAUAAAGUGAGUCUCGUGAGACUUUUUGCAUGUACCUUAUGAAUAAGGACCGGCUAAUUCCGUGCCAGCAGCCGCGGUAAUACGGAAGGUCCGGGCGUUAUCCGGAUUUAUUGGGUUUAAAGGGAGCGUAGGCCGGAGAUUAAGCGUGUUGUGAAAUGUAGGCGCUCAACGUCUGCACUGCAGCGCGAACUGGUUUCCUUGAGUACGCACAAAGUGGGCGGAAUUCGUGGUGUAGCGGUGAAAUGCUUAGAUAUCACGAAGAACUCCGAUUGCGAAGGCAGCUCACUGGAGCGCAACUGACGCUGAAGCUCGAAAGUGCGGGUAUCGAACAGGAUUAGAUACCCUGGUAGUCCGCACGGUAAGCGAUGGAUGCCCGCUGUUGGUCUGAACAGGUCAGCGGCCAAGCGAAAGCAUUAAGCAUCCCACCUGGGGAGUACGCCGGCAACGGUGAAACUCAAAGGAAUUGACGGGGGCCCGCACAAGCGGUGGAGCAUGUGGUUUAAUUCGAAGCAACGCGAAGAACCUUACCAGGUCUUGACAUCUUUUGAUCACCUGAGAGAUCAGGUUUCCCCUUCGGGGGCAAAAUGACAGGUGGUGCAUGGUUGUCGUCAGCUCGUGCCGUGAGGUGUCGGCUUAAGUGCCAUAACGAGCGCAACCCCUCUCCUUAGUUGCCAUCAGGUCAAGCUGGGCACUCUGGGGACACUGCCACCGUAAGGUGUGAGGAAGGUGGGGAUGACGUCAAAUCAGCACGGCCCUUACGUCCGGGGCUACACACGUGUUACAAUGGCAGGUACAGAGAGACGGUCCCUUGCAAAACGGAUCAAAUCCUUAAAGCCUGUCUCAGUUCGGACUGGGGUCUGCAACCCGACCCCACGAAGCUGGAUUCGCUAGUAAUCGCGCAUCAGCCAUGGCGCGGUGAAUACGUUCCCGGGCCUUGUACACACCGCCCGUCAAGCCAUGAAAGCCGGGGGCGCCUAAAGUCCGUGACCGUAAGGAGCGGCCUAGGGCGAAACUGGUAAUUGGGGCU
rnacentral:rRNA from 1 species